AGUGCCAUUAUUAGCUCUUCUACAGAACCACGCAGGGUAUUCUGCCCACUCCCCACAGCCAGAGGACACUUCCGUGUGCAGGGAGAGGAGCUGGGGGCACAGGCGGGACACACAUGCUAGCCCAUCCCUCAGGGUGUCACCCUCCACUUCCUUGGAACUCCCAGCUGUUCAGGGCUGAGGCAGGCAGGCCCGUCAGUGUGAAAGAGCCCUCCCAAGCCAGUGAUUUCAUGCUUCAGGCAUUUAUCCCCAGAACUGGCCAGGGAGCCGAGCAGGCCAAACCCCCUCCUGCUCACAGAGCCAGAGCAGACACAAGGGUAGAGCUGGACAGUGUUAGCUCUCACUUCCUUCAGCAGCCUUGACUGUGUUCCCAUGGCCUCCUCAGUCUAAAGGUUGCUUCUCUGCCUUCCACAGUCAAAGCCAACAAAUGAAAAUAAUCACUAGUGGGAGCUGGGCGGGAGUACCCAGGAUUCUGGUCAAUCACUCUUCAACUCAGAACAAGAGGAAGGCCUGCGGCAUGUCUGCUCCUGCCUUCCUCCAGCCAAGGAUGAGCUAUGUUUCACGUGCUGGCAGGCAGCAUCAUACAAAGUUCUGUUGAGUUCUGAGAUGGGUAUGACCGGAAGGAGCCACCUGGGGAGUGAAAGAAGCCCCCUGUCUUACAGUAUCUAAAUCCCUAAGUAUGGGGAAAACGGCAACAACAUUUUGGAAGCUGAAACACGCUGGGUGGUCCAGUGGUCCUGAGAUCAGACCUGAGAAAAUGGAAUCUCAAACCAGCAAAGGGAAACUGAAAACCAACCUGAUUUACCCCACAAAAUUCUCCAAAGUCUCAGAUGGAUGGCACCAGGCGUCUGGCCAUGGGAGAGGAGGUGCAUUAAAACCAGAAGUCCAAGGCAGACUCUCUGGGAAGUCAGGCACCUGGUGCUUUCUGGCCAACAGAAGUCUGCAGCGUAUUCACUCUCUGGAGACGGCAAACCAAGGACUUUGACUGGAGUGCCAGGCCCAGCUGAGAAAAAUCGAGUCCAUGUUUACUGAAUACUGAAGCAGUGGUCCCCAACCCUUUCCCCCAACUCAGCUCUCAUAGCAAGGGUGGCUUGACUCAUCCUUCAGGCAGACUGGAAGAUGCCUCUUUGAAGAAAGUGAAACAUUUCAUGAAGCACCUAAAAAGAUGAUCCUGGGAGAGGGUCCCCAAUAGCUAGUGUACCCAGACUAAACUGACCAGACCCAGCUAUGAGCUCAGACUUCCAAUUGGCCUUUUCUCCCUACUCUUACUCUGGAGCAGAAAGCCAAGAAUGACCAGAUAUCUGAUAAGUCCCUCUGAUAGGGAUGAUAAAGACCCAAACAAAAGGAAAAGGUCAGCUUAAAGGAAACAGAAACUUUGCAAAGAUAAGAAAACUCUGAAAAAUAUAUCAACAAAUACUCUGAGGGCUACAAGAAAGUAUUGCAUCCUUGAAGCAAACCAAAAAAAAAAAAAAAAAAAAAAAAAGGAUGUCAUUAAAACAAUAAAAUGAAAUGUAACAAUCAAAACACUAAGAAAAAGGUCUUGAUUAUUAAAAACAGUUUAGCAAAAUAAAAAAAUUGAUUGAAGGCAUACAAGACUGAGUUAAGGGAAUCCUCAGAAAGUGAAGAUAAAAAUAGGUAAUAAAAAAAAUCCAAUAUCCAAAUAGUAAAAGUACCAGAGAGAACAGAAAGUGUAGAAAAAUAUCACCACUGAAAUAAUUCAAGAUGAUUUCUCAAAACUGAAAGAUACAUUACCAGACCAGAAACGGCCCACCCAGUGCCCAGCAUAAUGUAAAGAGAACCUCAUGUUCGUGUAUCGUUUUGAAAUUUCAGAAAACCGGGGACAAAAAGAACUUCCUACUAGUUUAUAGUUACAUGUAAAAGAUUAUGAAUCAGAAUGGACUGCUUAACAGCAAUACUAGAAGCCAGGAGACAAGCAAUCAGAAGUUUAAAAGAAAAUAGUUUGCAACCUAGAAUUUGACAUCCAGCCAAACUAUGGGUCGAGUGUGAGCACAGAAAAAAGAAUUUUCAGACACAAAAAGUCUCAAACCACUUCUCUCCCAUGAGCUCUUUCUCAAGAAGUUACUGGAAGAUAACCUCCAUCGAGAUGAGACAGCAAGGGCACCUGGGUGGCCUAGUCAGUUAAGCAUCCAACUUCGGCUCAGGUCAUGAUCUCAUAGUCCAUGAGUUCGAGUCCCACAUCAGGCUCUGUGCUGAUAGCUCGGAGCCUGGAGCCUGCUUCGGAUUCUGUGUCUCCCUCUCUCUCUGCCCCUCUCCCACUCGCACUCUGUCUUUCUCU